rnacentral:rRNA from 1 species
UAGGGAAUCUUCCACAAUGGACGAAAGUCUGAUGGAGCAACGCCGCGUGAGUGAAGAAGGUUUUCGGAUCGUAAAACUCUGUUAUUGGAGAAGAACGUAUUUGGUAGUAACUGGCCAGAUAGUGACGGUAUCCAAUCAGAAAGCCACGGCUAACUACGUGCCAGCAGCCGCGGUAAUACGUAGGUGGCAAGCGUUGUCCGGAUUUAUUGGGCGUAAAGCGAGUGCAGGCGGUUUUUUAAGUCUGAUGUGAAAGCCUUCGGCUUAACCGAAGAAAUGCAUUGGAAACUGGGAAACUUGAGUGCAGAAGAGGAGAGUGGAACUCCAUGUGUAGCGGUGAAAUGCGUAGAUAUAUGGAAGAACACCAGUGGCGAAGGCGGCUCUCUGGUCUGUAACUGACGCUGAGGCUCGAAAGCGUGGGUAGCAAACAGG